AUGCUUCUGUCCCAUUCCUCCUCCUCCCUAUCCUUUGUUCCACCCCUUCCAGAACUCAGAACUGGAUACAUCUGUCCCCAAGAGAAGAGGGCGGGGAGGCUGUGGGGUACGGUCCUCCUCAGACUGGCAUUCCAGGAUGCUCUCUUUACUGCCCUGAUGCCAGGAAGACAUGAACCCCAGAGUACUCAUCGCCUGGGAGCACACAGUGCUGCUGGGCCCUUGAGGAGCAGCAGCAGAGUCACAGCAGGCUUACUGGAAACCUUCUCAGCUUGUCUCUUCCCCUGUAAGUACAUAUUAUUUUCAAUUUUUAAAAUGUUUUUAAAGGUUCUGGUCAUUGUUUAUGUAGAACAAUGUGUCUGAUGCCCUGUAGUAUGACAUUAUAUUCCAGAAAGCAAGAGUUGCCCCACUGUGCAGAAACUAGGUAACAAAAGACAAAAAUUAGGUCCACAGGUUGCCAGAAAGGUAUAUAGCAAGCUGUGCACUGAUUUAUCAUGGCUACAGAAGAGCUAUUUACUUCUCAGACAGUGUGGCACAUUGGUAUAAGUCUUCUCCCAUCUGCACCAUCAGUGAUGCACAUUGUCCGUGAGCCAGGUGUGCCCCCUGUGAAUCUUAGCUGCGCAGUCCCAGCAGGAUGUUGCUGCCUCAGUGUAGGGGCAUAUUUCUAGUGACUGCCUCCUCAUCACUGCUCUCUCUUACUUCUUUCCAGAUGUGCCAUGGACCAUUAGCCUACACCUUGCCAAUAGCGUCACCAGAUCUUCACGUUGACAUGCAUUCUGCCUCUCUUUUUAACAGGAAAUUAAGCCACCACUGUAAAAAAAAACAUCACCUGCCUCCACCAAUUCAUUGCAUUGGGGGAUGGGGGGUAUCAGCACAUAUAUUAUUAAAUUUCUUUCUCUCUCUUUGAGUUGAACGAUACCAGCACCUCUGAACUUCUCCUGAGGAGCUGUGGCAGAGUUAAGAAAAAUUACAGGCUUCUUGAAAAGCCUGCAAGCUUGUCUCUUGCCUUGUAAGUAAGUCUUAUGUAUGAGUUAUUUCUAAUUGUCUCAGAAUAUAUUUCAUCUUGGUUUUACAUUACUCUUCCAUUUGUCCCCCAGCCUAAAUAUACAGUUCUGUAUCAGUGAUGUCUUAUUACCCAAAUCCCAAGCUCAAAUGACACUUUGCAGAUAACUUGCAGACAAAUGGCUUGGUUCUGCUGUGUGAUGGCUGGUGAUUGUGUGCAAAACAACCCGCACACUGCAGCUAAGGCUUGUUGUUUCUCCUCCUCUGUGCACUAUGCCUUUGACAGAAGUGGGGAGUAAAGCUCAGUGCCCUUUCCUUGUGCAGGGGGCACCUGUGGUCUGAGGAUACUGCUGUGUCCCCCCUAGCCAGGGAUAAGGACUUCUUGCUGCAUCCCCACCCCUGCUGCUUCCUCCCUUCUCUCCCACCCAGUGUGCUCUGGGUACACCUUCAUCACAGCCCAGCCACUCCCAGGGGACGCUGCCUAAUUUACCUCCAAAGUAAACCUAUGUCCUCUGGCACCAAAAGUUGCCUGAAAACCGUCCUCCACCCCACCACAAAAUAUAAAUUGGACUACUGGUUUCUCCAAAAAGAAAUAUCUUGUCUACACAUGCAAAGACACCUGUGUGCUGCUGAUGCACAGGUGGGACAUCCAAGCCAGCGGGUGGUAUUAGUGUCACGUAGGACUACACACAGCCAUUUCCUUAGCCUUCUGCCAUUUCUCCACAAAAACUAUUGCAAAGAUGUGCUUGCAGAGGAAACAGCCCCACAACACCAUGAAUGUUUUGUGUAGAGACAUUCCAGCUUAUUUGUCUAGACAUUGGAAAACAGCAUCACUGCCCCUUCCCUUGGUCCUUGUGGAGAAGACUUGCUAAGUAAAUCAUUUCCAUGCUGAUUUAUCUCUCUGUCUUUGCCCACAACUACUGAUUUGUAGUAGGUGAUACGGAGCUCCAAGCAUGGGUCCUGCUCUUCAUCAAACCCUCUGUGAAAUUGUCCCUUGUCCCUUGGAGCUGUAAGCUGAAGUAAGGAGACAAUGGCUGAUGAAAAAGAAGAGCAAGAGAGCUAUAGUACCACAAGACUUAAUACCAGGCUUUUAAGAGCUGCUGAGCGACUGUAUGAGAGAGGCAGAUUUUGGAUAUUGCCCCUCUUUAAAAUUCAAACAUUUGCCUUAAAUCUGCAAGCAAGGCUGUGACGGAUCUAGAAGAAUUUUCCCCCGUGUCCUACAAACAGGAAGGGGAAAUCCAAAUUUUCAUUCUCUCAGCUGAGGCACUGUUGAAAAGUGCUUUUGCCAGUUCAACCGUCCUGCUGAGGAGUGAGCAGGCAGCUGCCCUCACUGGCUGCCAGACUUAGGGGCUUUGUCUUUUAAGACAGAACAAGCAAUUGCUUUAUGAGACAAAAAGCCCAGGAGAUGCUUGGAAGGGAAUUAGAGGUGCCUGAGACAGAGAGGAACAAGGAAGGGAGAAGUGCUAUAAGUGGCUAGGGGACAGACGGACAUCUUGGAUGUGGGGGGAAUUUCUUAUGAGAGAAAAACAACUCUAUCUUAAAGUCCUUCUGAAACUACCUUCAGCUGAAGACAGCUGCACUGCCCUUCUAAGCAGGAAACAAGAAGGACUACAUAGUGCCUGCAGUUUUCACGGGGCAAUCAUAGGAGUCACAUAGCACUGUUUGCUGCAGCUCCCUCUUGCUACUCCAAAGCCAAUNNNNNNNNNNNNNNNNNNNNNNNNNNNNNNNNNNNNNNNNNNNNNNNNNNNNNCCUGCUCCUGCGGGGGCUCUCCGUGGGCUGCAGCCUCCUCCAGGCCACAUCCACCUGCUCCACCGGGGGCUCCUCCACAGGCUGCAGCGUGGAGAUCUGCUCCAUGUGGGACCCAUGGGCUGCAGGGGGACAGCCUGCUCCACCAGGGGCCUCUCCACAGGCUGCAGGGGAACCACUGCUGAGUGCCUGGAGCACCUCCUGCCCUCCUGGUGCACACGCCUUGGGGGCUGCAGGGCUGGUGCUCACACCUCUCUCCAAGCUGCUGUUGUGCAGCAGUUUCUUCUUCCCUUUCUUAAGUCUGCUCUCACAGAGGCAUAAACAAUGAUGGGCCAGUGGCAGGUCCCUGUCCUUCUCACUUUGCAACCUUUCCUCAGAGGGUGCCCAUUGCUGCACUUAUUCCUAAGUCUCUGAAUUCCACCUAACAAGAUUGGUCCACCUUUUUUUUUUUUUUCUUCUAGAUGGAUUUGCAUAGGAAAUUUCCUUACAGACCCCUGUAUCCAUCGCCAAGUUCAAGAAAACUUCACAAAUGUCCUGUGAAAUCAAAAGCCUACCAACAAGUUUGAUAGUACUGUCAUACUCUGCCAUAAACAGAAGGAGAAUGAAGCUCCACAGAGGCUACUGUUCUUUGCAGAAGGGAAAACUUCAGUGGAAAGUGGCUUGCAAAAAGACAGGUACAGAGCUGAAAGAGUUUCUGACCAGAAUCAGUGUGUUCUUAUGAUAAAGGAUGUCAUUCCAGAUGACACUAGCAUGUACCACUGACAAACACUUUGGUGAUGGGAACAUCAUGCCUGCCAUUCCCAAGUAUUUCUAAGGGAAAACUCUUCCUGUUCCCCACUAUGCUGGGGUGAUGUACUUUGUACUCUUACAAUAAAAAACAUAGCUCCAGGUGCUGCUGCUACCUA
ensembl:lncRNA